AAGUCGUAACAAGGUUUCCGUAGGUGAACCUGCGGAAGGACCAUUUCUGAAUGAUUAAAAAAAGUGGGGUAUUGUGCUAUAAAAAUGGUUUACUAUUGAAAAUGGUUUGGGUUGUUUUUUGGGAAAAAGAGUGAUUUGGAUGGAGGAAAUGGAAGAAAUGUUACUAUUUUGACCCAUUUCUGAGAUUUAGAUCUUCUUUUGAAAGAAGAGCCAAUUUGGGCCAUUUUCAAAAAGUUGAUAUAACUACUUGUAUGAAAUUGAAAAAUCCCUGAAUUUAUAAAUGAGACACAACUGUCAACG
rnacentral:misc_RNA from 1 species